AGAGUUUGAUCCUGGCUCAGGACGAACGCUGGCGGCGUGCUUAACACAUGCAAGUCGAACGGUAAGGCGCUUUCGGGCGUACACGAGUGGCGAACGGGUGAGUAACACGUGAGGAACGUGCCCUUGACUUUGGUAUAGCACUUGGAAACAGGUGGUAAUCCCGAAUAUUCAGUUUCCCGGGCAUCCGGGUUGUUGGAAAGCUUUUUGCGGUCAGGGAUCGUCUCGCGGCCUAUCAGCUUGUUGGUGGGGUAGUGGCCCACCAAGGCCUUGACGGGUAGCCGGCCUGAGAGGGCGACCGGCCACAUUGGGACUGAGAUACGGCCCAGACUCCUACGGGAGGCAGCAGUGGGGAAUAUUGCACAAUGGGCGGAAGCCUGAUGCAGCAACGCCGCGUGCGGGAUGACGGCCUUCGGGUUGUAAACCGCUUUCACCCAUGACGAAGCGCGAGUGACGGUAGUGGGGGAAGAAGCACCGGCCAACUACGUGCCAGCAGCCGCGGUGAUACGUAGGGUGCGAGCGUUGUCCGGAAUUAUUGGGCGUAAAGAGCUUGUAGGCGGUUGAUCGCGUCGAUAGUGAAAUCCCGGGGCUCAACCUCGGGCUUGCUGUCGAUACGGGUUGACUUGAGGAAGGUAGGGGAGAAUGGAACUCCCGGUGGAGCGGUGGAAUGCGCAGAUAUCGGGAAGAACACCGGUGGCGAAGGCGGUUCUCUGGACCUUUCCUGACGCUGAGAAGCGAAAGCGUGGGGAGCAAACAGGCUUAGAUACCCUGGUAGUCCACGCUGUAAACGGUGGGUACUAGGUGUGGGUCGCAUUCCACGUGAUCCGUGCCGUAGCCAACGCAUUAAGUACCCCGCCUGGGGAGUACGGCCGCAAGGCUAAAACUCAAAGGAAUUGACGGGGGCC
rnacentral:rRNA from 1 species